rnacentral:tRNA from 2 species
GUAGCUCAGUGGUAGAGCGCACCCUUGGUAAGGGUGAGGUCGGGAGUUCAAUCCUCCCC